rnacentral:rRNA from 1 species
GUAGGUGGCAAGCGUUGUCCGGAAUUAUUGGGCGUAAAGCGCGCGCAGGCGGUUCUUUAAGUCUGAUGUGAAAGCCCACGGCUCAACCGUGGAGGGUCAUUGGAAACUGGAGAACUUGAGUACAGAAGAGGAAAGCGGAAUUCCACGUGUAGCGGUGAAAUGCGUAGAGAUGUGGAGGAACACCAGUGGCGAAGGCGGCUUUCUGGUCUGUAACUGACGCUGAGGCGCGAAAGCGUGGGGAGCAAACAGGAUUAGAUACCCUGGUAGUCCACGCCGUAAACGAUGAGUGCUAAGUGUUAGGGGGGUUUCCGCCCCCCUUAGUGCUGCGGCUAACGCAUUAAGCACUCCGCCUGGGGAUACGGCCGCAAGGCUG